rnacentral:rRNA from 1 species
UACGUAGGGGGCGAGCGUUUGUCCGGAAUCAUUGGGCGUAAAGCGCGUGUAGGCGGCCCGGUAAGUCCGCUGUGAAAGUCCAGGCUCAACCCUGGGAUGCCGGUGGAUACUGUCGGGCUCGAGUCCGGAAGAGGCGAGUGGAAUUCCUGGUGUAGCGGUGAAAUGCGCAGAUAUCAGGAAGAACACCCGUGGCUAAGGCGGCUCUCUAGUACGGUACUGACGCUGAGACGCGAAAGCGUGGGGAGCGAACAGG